rnacentral:rRNA from 1 species
GACGACACUUUGGCGGCGUGCCUAAUACAUGCAAGUAGAACGCUGAAGAGAGGAGCUUGCUCUUCUUGGAUGAGUUGCGAACGGGUGAGUAACGCGUAGGUAACCUGCCUUGUAGCGGGGGAUAACUAUUGGAAACGAUAGCUAAUACCGCAUAACAAUGGAUGACACAUGUCAUUUAUUUGAAAGGGGCAAUUGCUCCACUACAAGAUGGACCUGCGUUGUGUUAGCUAGUAGGUGAGGUAAUGGCUCACCUAGGCGACGAUACAUAGCCGACCUGAGAGGGUGAUCGGCCACACUGGGACUGAGACACGGCCCAGACUCCUACGGGAGGCAGCAGUAGGGAAUCUUCGGCAAUGGGGGCAACCCUGACCGAGCAACGCCGCGUGAGUGAAGAAGGUUUUCGGAUCGUAAAGCUCUGUUGUAAGUCAAGAACGGGUGUGAGAGUGGAAAGUUCACACUGUGACGGUAGCUUACCAGAAAGGGACGGCUAACUACGUGCCAGCAGCCGCGGUAAUACGUAGGUCCCGAGCGUUGUCCGGAUUUAUUGGGCGUAAAGCGAGCGCAGGCGGUUUUGAUAGUCUGAAGUUAAAGGCUGUGGGCUCACCAUAGUUCGCUUUGGAAACUGUCAAACUUGAGUGCAGAAGGGGAGAGUGGAAUUCCGUGUGUAGCGGAGAAAUGCGUAGACAUAUGGAGGAACACCGGGUGGCGAAAGCGGCUCUCUGGUCUGUAACUGACGCUGAGGAUCGAAAGCGUGGGGAGCGAACAGGAUUAGAUACCCUGGUAGCCCUCCCCAUAAACGAUGAGUGCUGGGGGGUGGAUCCUUUCCGGGAUUCAGUGCCGCAGCUAACGCAUUAAGCACUCCGCCUGGGGAGUACGACCGCAAGGUUGAAACUCAAAGGAAUUGACGGGGGCCCGCACAAGCGGUGGAGCAUGUGGUUUAAUUCGAAGCAACGCGAAGAACCUUACCAGGUCUUGACAUCCCGAUGCUAUUUCUAGAGAUAGAAAGUUACUUCGGUACAUCGGUGACAGGUGGUGCAUGGUUGUCGUCAGCUCGUGUCGUGAGAUGUUGGGUUAAGUCCCGCAACGAGCGCAACCCCUAUUGUUAGUUGCCAUCAUUCAGUUGGGCACUCUAGCGAGACUGCCGGUAAUAAACCGGAGGAAGGUGGGGAUGACGUCAAAUCAUCAUGCCCCUUAUGACCUGGGCUACACACGUGCUACAAUGGUUGGUACAACGAGUUGCGAGUCGGUGACGGCGAGCUAAUCUCUUAAAGCCAAUCUCAGUUCGGAUUGUAGGCUGCAACUCGCCUACAUGAAGUCGGAAUCGCUAGUAAUCACGGAUCAGCACGCCGCGGUGAAUACGUUCCCGGGCCU